rnacentral:rRNA from 1 species
UACGGAGGGUGCGAGCGUUGUCCGGAAUCACUGGGCGUAAAGGGCGCGUAGGUGGCUCGUGAAGCGUGCGGUGAAAGUCCGAGGCUCAACCUCGGAUCGGCCGUGCGGACUCGCGGGCUGGAGCGUUGUAGAGGCGGGUGGAAUUCCGGGUGUAGCGGUGGAAUGCGUAGAGAUCCGGAAGAACACCGGUGGCGAAGGCGGCCCGCUGGGC